CAAGUUUCGAGACAAAGAAACAUAUUUAUUAUUGGAUACGACUUCAUUGUUUUUCAAAAUAUUUGUGAUUUCAAAUCAUCGACUGCUUAUUUAGGUAUAGGAAAAUAGGAAAUGAAAAAUAUUAUUUUUAAUCUCCUGGAGUAAGAAGAAGUUAUUGCUGCAAUUCUUUGCUCCAAUCAACACGAGCUUUUUUAAGCGAUUGUCAAAUUAUGCGGUAUUCAAAGCGAACAAAACUUUUUGACAGCCAAAUAUCCAUGCAAUUUUGAAUUAUGCGAGUGGAAUUGAUGUCCAAGUAUGACUCAAUCUCAAGGUGUGUCAAAUGAAGUUCCUGCAAAUUUUGGACGACCUUGACGAAAUUCAUCCUGUAGCAGAUUGCGUCCACGAUUGAAUUAGGAAAACCUAGAAGCUGAAGACGGUGUUUCAUCACUAAAAAAUUAAUUCACGUCAUACAAAAUCAUCGCACGAACAUGUUUGCGAUUUAAUUCCUCUUUUGACUAAAAUGAAUAUUUGAACUGUCUGUAAAUAACUCAAAUAGUCCGCGUAUGACAACUUGCUGGGUACGUUCACCAUCAAAAAGUCAAACUUUAAACGUCAAACUACAUCAGUGUAGCCAGUGUUAAAAAUUUAAAUAGCAUCCCUCUUAUAACAAUAGCAAUAGUUGCAAAACGAUAUUUAAAUCUAUGAACAAAAUAUUCAAUAUAUACACAAGUACACUAAAAAUUUUUUUCUUUUAGGAAAAAUUGUUUAAAAACUUGUAUACAAAAUCCUACUUUGUAGGAAGGAGACAAAACUUUUUUGGAAACAUAGCAGAGCACCUAAAAAUGUUUACCAUGAGCUGCCACUGUUAAGAACACUCAAAUUCUGAAAAUAAUUGCAUACAUAUUACAUUUUUUUACAUAUAAUUUACAUAUUAUCAAAAGAAUUAGUAAACAGUUUAUUUAUAAUACCCGUGCGAUACAUGACCAUUAUUUCAACAAAAAUAUAUUUACGAUAAUCUCAGAUACUUUGAAAGGAAAACUGCAUUUUCCAAGACCAUCAUUCUCAAGUAGUAAACUUUGACUGCAGAUGAUUCGCUGCCACUAAAACUUAAUAGAGUUUUGAAAGGUGUAGAUGAAAGAUUAAAAGAUGAUUGUUCAAAAUGGCAUACAAAAACUUUAGAAAAUACAAGAAACUGUUAUAUUAGUAGUUUUACAAUAAUUAGGGCACUAUCACCUCAAUGAACACCUGAAGACGUUAAACUUAGUAGAUAAUGCAGCCAGCAGAGUUCGAAACGUUUAUCCACGAUCUCUAGAAGUGUGAAACACUAAAGAACUCCAGAGAUCUACACCUGGGAGCGUAUACAAUGGAAAUAUAAGAGCCAUCCCAUAAUCUAAACUUUCCAAUAAAAGGAAAAUUAAGUCGCAAUGUAUAUAAAAUAAUCUAAUAUAUAAUAUGUUUAUUUUGAAUUUUUUUAAUGUAAUAACAAACUGUCGUUUGUCUCA